UAAAAAAGGAAAAAAAAAGAAAAAAAAGACUCUUUCCUCUUUUCUUAUCUCUCUCUCUCUCCUCUGUCUCUUCGUCUUCAUCUCACUCUUCUGAUAUCAGUUCUUCACCGUCGAUUUGCCGGAACCCUAAUUUUGAUGCUCGGAGAAGACAAAUCUUUUUGUAUAUGCUUUUAUUCAGUUUAUUGGAUUUGUCGCUGAAUGCAGUUAGGGUUUUAUUGUUGUAUUUCCGUUUGAGCAGUUAGUGUUGCGACUGCUUAAACUUUGUUGGCUCGGUCGAGACUCACUGAAGCUUAGGGUUUUUUUUUUGUUCGAAGUAGUAGAUGACUGUGAGACAAGGGAAUAGCUGAGAUCAAACGGGUUGGUUUUCAUCACCGGAUGGAGGGAGGUAGCGUCUCUAGACUUACUUCUUCUGAGAUAAACCCAUGGAUUAUGAUGACAAUGACUUUCAAAGCCAGAAUCUUCAUUUAGCUGGUGAAGGAAGUGCCAAAUUUCCACCUGUUCUUCGACAAUAUGCUCUCCCAAAGUUUGAUUUUGAUGACACCCUUCAGGGGCAUGUAAGAUUUGAUAGUUUGGUCGAACCCGAGGUGUUCUUAGGUAUUGAGAAUAACGAAGAUACUCAGUGGAUUGAAGAUUAUUCUCGUGUAAGUAGUGGGAUAGGAUUUACUUCUUGUGCAGCAGAAUCUUGUUCUAUAUUGAGGCGGAAGAAUGUUUGGUCCGAGGCCACUUCCUCUGAAUCUGUUGAAAUGUUAUUGAAGUCCGUUGGGCAGGAAGAUAUCAAUCUGACAGCAACUGUUACUGGCGAGUCAAAUGCUCGUGAAAAAUUGGACUACUUAACAAACCCAAUGGAUCCUACUUUAAAAGAUGAUGGUAGUAGUUUCUGUGAAAUGGGCGAUUUGCAGCCUACUUUGCUAUCAAAUAUAAGUCUUGAGGAAUUGCAUGUUGUUAACGAGGACAUAAGAGGGGAGCAACAACAACCUCAAAGGGAUAAUCCUACUGAAUUUCAGGAGAUCUGUACUGUUGAUAGAAGUUUAGGUGAGGUUGAUCCUGGUGUUGCCCAUGAACUUGUAGAUAUGCCAGCAAGUGAGGGAAGUUCAGGUAUUGAUGAAAACAGUAAGAAACCUUGUGCAAAUACAAUUAAUACUCCAGUUGCCUUAUUAGUGGAAGAUAAAGGGCAAGAUGAUUUUUCUGCUUCAGGAAAGCAUAUAAGUGAUUUGGUUACUUGCGCUCAUGAAGGUAGUGGAAAGUUGGGCGAUCAAAAGAUUGAACAACAAAUAAAAGAUUUAUCUAAGAAUCCUGUUAAUACAUCUGUUGGUAACAUUGAACAAGUGGUCAAUUCACACGAGUUGAGCAAAGAAGACCAAAACCCUCUGAUAUCACCCUCAGUUCCUUCAGAAAGAUUGGUCGUCGAAUCUAGUAUUUCUCCUUUGCAGUCCCAUGCAAGUGUGACCUUGAAGGGGGAUUGUGUGUUCCACUCAGGUAGUGGAGAGGUUAUGCCUGAAGUUUCUUCUGAAACUGACAAGUUAGAUGAUAAGGUCUUGUGUUCAAAUAUGGAGUUUGGAAAUCCGUCUAAAGAAAGCGUAUGCGAGGUAUUACCAGCCGUUGUUGAAGGUGAUGCCAGAACUGAGACAUGUGUUGAGGGGAAAAACAUUAAUGCAGAACUUUGUGCCGUUCAAGGGCCUAAGAUUGAUUCAGUUGGGCAGAUGGCUUGUGGACAAGAAAUGAUUAGUGAACAUCUUCCCUUGGGUAUUGAGAUACAAACUAGUAAGUCUGAGUCUUCUGCAUCUGCUAUGGAGGAAAGUAAAGCCUCUAAGGUUGGUGAAAGCACCAGUGGUUAUAUCAGAGAUAUUCCAGAUAAAUUUACAGAGGAUGUUCAUGGUUGCACCCUUCCCAUAGAAAAUUUAUAUUUUGAAGGCCAUUUGCCACCUACCACUGUGGCUGAAUCAACACAAUUAUGUGAGGAAAAUAAAUUGCCGGGUAAUGUUCACGUGGAACAUGCCAGUUGCAAAGAAGAAGUGAGGCUGUCUUCUGAUUCUACUAAUUUGAAUGGAAAGUUUGCUGACUCUCCUGUCACAGAUAAGAGAAUUGUAUCCUUGUCUUUUCAAGAGAGUGGUGUAGAAAGUGGGACGAUAGAUACAAAAUUAGAGUAUAGUGCUAAUGCUGGUGAUGAAUCAGUGUCAGUUUCUACCUUCGAGGGUGCCAAUGUGAGAACAUGUGGCACAUUACAGGGUGACUCCUUACUUUUAGUUGAUGCUUUGACAGACAGAAAAGAUGCCAAUGACAAAGAGGACCAGUUGCAACCUGCUGUUGUGGAGCUUACUCAAUCAGAUAGCAAAGAAGAAAGUGGUGUGAUAAUUCCUGCUGAAGGAAGUUCUGUUCGGUUGGAUACUUCUCAACCUGUGGGGAAACUUCAUCCUCUUUCUGAAGCUGAAAACUCCACUCCUGUCCUUACUGGCCAGGGAUCUGGUGAAAGUAUUGAUCAAUCUAUUCUGAAAAAUUUGAACUCCAGUGACUGUAGCAGAGAAAGCCAAUCUAUACCUCAAGCAGAUAUUCCUAAUAAUGUUAUCCAAGACUGCGGACAGGAAAUGGACGUUGAUCCAGCGAUUUCAAAGUCAACUGCAAUAGCAUGUGACAGUGGUGGUAAACAGUCAGACGCCACACCUUUGACUCAACGGCCAGGAGAAACACUUGAUAAUUAUCAGAAAGAUCAGGAAAGUAGAAAAGUUGUUUCAGAAACUGUGGGAAAUAACUGUCAGCAGGUCAUUGCAGCGAACAUUGACAGCGGUGCUGGCAAAAAGGAAGGUUCAUUAUGCUCUGCCGUUUUUUCUCAAUCUCAUGAACAGACAUCUGUUACGGGGAAUGGUAAUUCUACUGCUGCUAAGCCACCUCCUAAUUUACCUGAUGUUGUCAAAGCUACUGUGGGUGCUCAUGAUCCAGAUGUAAAGGAUUGCAAUAAAGUACCACCAAGUAAGAAUGUUGAAGCUGCAGAGUUGAAGGAUAGGCUGGUUGGCAACGCUUCAUCUGGUUCUCAGUUACCCAAAGAAAAUGUUGUCUCUGAAAGUGAGACAGCUCUUACCUUCCAGUCCAGUUCAUUGGUAGAUCUGCCAAAAAAUGAUUCUGGCAUUGCAGUUGCAACAGCAGCCAGUGCUUCUUUGGUUGUGGAGGCACCCCAAUCCCAAUCAUCUUCUGGCCCAUCCAAAUUGGACAUCAAGACUGCUCGGGAUAUUUCACACAGUAGUCCUCAUGUGUCUGAGGUAAAAGUUGCACGUUCUCGUUCCAAGGGCACUCCUGAGCGGAGACCAAGGCGUGCUUCUGCCAAAGGAUUGGGGAAAGAGUCAUCUACAAAAGGAAGUCAGACAAAGAAAUCAGAGAAAGUAGAGAAAUCUAAUAGCACGCCCAUAAGCAAUCCUGGAAUUUUCCAGCUUGCACAGUCUAAUGAAAUGCAACAUCAUGGACAUGUGGAGUCCAGUGGUGCAAAACCAUUUGUAUUUAUUGGUGCUUCGACUUCUAGCCUUCCGGACUUGAAUAAUUCUGCCUCCCCAUCCCCAAUGUUUCAACAACCUUUCACAGAUUUGCAACAAGUUCAAUUGCGUGCUCAGAUAUUUGUAUAUGGAGCUUUGAUUCAAGGUACAGCACCAGAUGAGGCGUACAUGUUGUCUGCAUUUGGAGGACCCGAUGGUGGAACAAACCUAUGGGAGAAUGCCUGGCGUAUGUGUGUAGACAGGCUUAAUGGAAAAAAAUCACAGACUAUUAAUCCAGAGACACCUUCACAAUCACAAUCUGUUGGUAGAAGUACUGAGCAAGCCAGUAAACAAAGUACACUGCAGAGUAAAAUUAUAUCUCCUCCAGUUAGUCGAGUUAGCAGUAAGAGUACAUCAACAGUGUUAAACCCUAUGAUCCCUCUUUCCUCACCACUCUGGAGUAUUUCUACACCUUCCAAUGCUCUGCAAUCUAGUAUUGUGCCUCGAAGUCCAGUUAUAGACUAUCAACAAGCACUUACUCCAUUGCAUCCUUAUCAGACUCCUCCUGUCAGGAACUUUAUUGGUCAUAAUCUUUCAUGGUUUUCUCAGGCUCCAUUCCAUAGUACCUGGGUUGCUACUCAGACUUCGACGCCGGACUCCAGUGCACGAUUUUCUGGUUUGCCAAUUACUGAGCCUGUUCAUUUAACACCCGUAAAGGAAUCAUCUGUGUCACAAUCCUCUGCCAUGAAGCCCUCUGGUUCUUUGGUUCAAGGUGGAACUCCUGGUAAUGUAUUUACGGGAUCCUCCCCCCUGCAUGAGUUGAAAAAAGUUUCAGUAACCACGGGGCAAAAUCCCGCCGAAUCAAAAAUGAGAAGAAGAAAGAAGAAUACAGUUUCUGAGGAUCCUGGCCUUAUAACUAUGCAGGUUCAACCUCAUUUGAAACCAGUGCCAGCUGUAGUUACAACUACAAUUUCUACUCUUGCAACAUCUCCAUCUGUCCACCCUAAGGCAACUUCCGAGAAUGUAAUUUUAUCUCCACCUCCAUUGUGUCCGACAGCUCACCCAAAGACUGCAGGUCAAGAUUUGAGAGGGAAACCCAUGUUUUCAGAGGAAACACUUGGCAAGGUUAGGGAGGCUAAGCAACUGGCUGAGGAUGCUGCAUUGUUUGCAUCUGAAGCUGUUAAACACAGUGCAGAAGUGUGGAGUCAAUUGGGCAGGCAGAAGAACUCAGAAUUAGUAUCAGACGUUGAAGCUAAACUAGCUUCUGCAGCUGCUGCUAUAGCAGCAGCUGCUGCUGUUGCAAAGGCUGCAGCUGCUGCCGCCAAUGUGGCAUCAAAUGCUGCAUGUCAAGCAAAGUUGAUGGCUGAUGAGGCAUUUUCUUCAUCUAGCCCCGAGAUUUCCUGUCAAAGCAAUGAAUUUUCUGUUCAUGGUAGUGCUGUUGGUGCAGGGAAGGCCACUCCAGCCUCCAUCUUGAGGGGCGAAGAUGGUGGAAAUGGUUCCAGCUCUAUUAUUAUUGCUGCAAGGGAAGCAGCUAGAAAGAGGGUUGAAGCUGCAUCUGCUGCUUCUAAGCAUGCUGAAAAUGUGGAUGCCAUUGUCAGAGCUGCUGAGCUGGCAGCAGCAGCUGUGUCACAAGCUGGAAAUUUAGUUGCUAUGGGCGAUCCUCUCCCCUUAGGGAAAUUAGUGGAAGCUGGUCCAGAGGGUUAUUGGAAAACGCCUCAAGUAUCUUCUGAGCUGAUUAUGAGACCAGAUGAUGUUAAUGGAGGAAGUUCCAAUUUAGCAAUUAAGCGUCCUAGAGACGGAUUGUCAAGUAAGAACGAGAUUCAACCUAGUGUCAGUGCCAAGCCAUCAAUUCCUGAAGAAAUAUCUAUGGGUAGUGUUGAGAACCAUCCCAAAUUGGUUGAUGGCAUCACAAGUUGUGUAGCACCUCGUGAGAAGGGUCUAAGAGGACAGAAGGACCAAAAUGCUUCUGAUCUGACGAAGACCAUUGGUGUUGUUCCAGAAUCUGAAGUUGGAGAAAGAUUGUCCCAGGAUGAGUGUGAAAAGGCUAAGGAUUUAAGACAAAGCAGCAUAAAGGAAGGUUCUCAUGUUGAGGUUUUCAAGGAUGGGAAUGGAUUAAAAGCAUCUUGGUUCACAGCCAGUGUGCUGAGUUUGAAGGAAGGGAAAGCUUAUGUGUCCUACACCGAACUUCAACCUGAAGAAGGGUCGGGCCAACUAAAGGAGUGGGUUGCUCUUGAUGGUCAAGGGGGCAUGGCGCCAAGAAUUCGAAUAUCUCGUCCAAUGACUACCUCGCGGACUGAAGGAACAAGGAAGAGACGCCGAGCAGCUGCAGGGGACUACAUUUGGUCAGUUGGAGACAAAGUUGAUGCUUGGAUGCAGAAUAGCUGGCAUGAAGGAGUGGUUGUUGAGAAGAACGCAAAAGAUGAAACAGCAUAUAUUGUCCGCUUUCCAGCUCGAGGCGAAACAUCCACUAUCAAAGCUUGGAAUCUCCGCCCUUCUCUCAUAUGGAAAGAUGGGGAAUGGUUUGAGUUGUCUGGCUCAUAUGCAAACGAUUAUUCUCAUGAGAUUAUUAUGCCUCUAGAAAAGCGCAUGAAGUUGGGCAGUCCAGCUGCAGAGGUUAAAAGGAAGGAUAAAAUGCCAACGAUUGUGGAGGAUGUAGAAUCGGCAAAGCCAGCAGACUCAAGUUUGCUUUCAAUAUCAGUGAAUGAGAAAGUAUUUAAUAUUGGUAGGAAUACUCAAACUGAGAAGAAGACUAAUCCAUUAAAAACAAGUCGGACUGGUCUGCAGAAGGGGACAUCAAGAGUGAUUAUUGGUGUUCCAAGGCCUGGAAAAAAGAGAAAAUUUAUGGAAGUGAGCAAACAUUAUGAUGUAGACACUCGAACAACCGAAGCAAAUGAUUCAACUAAGUUGGCAAGGUAUUUGAUGCCGCAAGGUUCUACAUCUAAAGGAUUAAAAAGAACGUCAAAAUAUGAAACGAAGGAAAAAUCUACAAACGAUGGCAAGCCCUUGGCUGUCAAGUCUGGAAAGCAGCCAAGUGUAUCAGAUCAUGCAGUUAUUACAAGGGAUUCUGAAAGCCAGAAUGUGAGUACUGAGGGGAAGAACGACCAAAUGGACGUUCCUUCUUUGUGCAGUACUGAAGAAGCGCCAGAGGGCUCACUUUUAUUUCCUCCAGCACACGCUCCCAAGAAAGCAUCCUCAUUUCACACGAAGCCGGAACGAGCAAAUAAAGGAAGACUUGCUCCUGCAGUAGGGAAAUUGGCAAAAAUUGAGGAAGAAAAGGUUUUCAAUGGGAAUACUACCAAACCAAAUUCCAAUGUUAUUGAGCCACGUAGAUCCAACCGCCGUAUUCAGCCAACCUCAAGAUUAUUAGAGGGACUUCAAAGCUCACUGGCAAUUUCAAAGAUUCCUUCUAUUUCACACGAUAAAGGCCAACGAAGCCAGAACAGGAAUGCAUCUAGAGGGAACAAAACCUAAGGGGGGGGCCUGUUGCACACUUGCUCUUAGCCAGGGAAUCAUCCUCUGCCGAUAAUUAAUGUGACUUUAACAGUAGUUUAUAUUGUUGUAUUUACUAUAGAUAAAUGUAGGAAAGGAAACUCUUGCUUCCUUAGUUAUAGUCCUACAAGUUUAGCUUUAGUUGUUCAUAUUAAUUGAAGUUCCCUCACAUUUGUGUUCUCUCAAUCUCCUCCUCUACCAUAACAGGAUGUAUAUUGAAAACUCUCCUUGUAGGUUGGUCUUGGAAUUCAAAAAGAGAAUCGAAGCAUCUACUCCGCUUCGUUCCCUUUCGGAGUUAACUCUGACUUUGGUGCAUUUAAAUUGUUACUGUUUACCCUCAUUGCCACUGCUGAGUACACUUGAAGAAUGUGGUCAGAAGGCUCAGGUUACUUCCCAAAUUUUGUUUUCAUUCAACAAUUUGGAACGUAGAGCAAUGUUCUUAUGUUAUGGACACCUUACAAGUAAAGUUUUGCAUAAAUUGCUAUGAUACUUUUUUUUUUCUCUUGUUUA